rnacentral:rRNA from 1 species
UACGGAGGGUGCAAGCAUUAAUCGGAUUUAUUGGGCGUAAAGGGCGCGUAGGCGGGGAGAUAAGUCAGAUGUGAAAUCCCGGGGCUCAACCUCGGAACAGCAUUUGAAACUAUCUUUCUUGAGGGUAGGAGGAGAAAACGGAAUUCCACAAGUAGCGGUGAAAUGCGUAGAUAUGUGGAAGAACACCGGUGGCGAAGGCGGUUUUCUAUCUUAUUCCUGACGCUGAGGCGCGAAAGCAAGGGGAUCAAACAGG